GGGAAUGUGGCUCAGUGGUAGAGAGCUUGCUUGCCUUACAUGCAUGAAACCCUGGGUUUGAUUUCUCAGCAUUACAU
rnacentral:tRNA from 1 species